GAUGAACGCUGGCGGCGUGCCUAAUACAUGCAAGUCGAGCGAACGGACGAGAAGCUUGCUUCUCUGAUGUUAGCGGCGGAAGGGUGAGUAACACGUGGAUAACCUACCUAUAAGACUGGGAUAACUUCGGGAAACCGGAGCUAAUACCGGAUGAUAUUUUGAACCGCAUGGUUCAAAAGUGAAAGACGGUCUUGCUGUCACUUAUAGAUGGAUCCGCGCUGCAUUAGCUAGUUGGUAAGGUAACGGCUUACCAAGGCAACGAUGCAUAGCCGACCUGAGAGGGUGAUCGGCCACACUGGAACUGAGGCACGGUCCAGACUCCUACGGGAGGCAGCAGUAGGGAAUCUUCCGCAAUGGGCGAAAGCCUGACGGAGCAACGCCGCGUGAGUGAUGAAGGUCUUCGGAUCGUAAAACUCUGUUAUUAGGGAAGAACAUAUGUGUAAGUAACUGUGCACAUCUUGACGGUACCUAAUCAGAAAGCCACGGCUAACUACGUG
rnacentral:rRNA from 1 species